CAGUCAUGCUCCUCUGGUUCAUCUCGCAUCCUGUGUUGUCCACAUUGCACCCCUGUCCCUUUCCAUUUAUCACGCCAGUCUUGACAAAGAGGCAUGCUGUUUUUUUCCCUGCUUUAACCUGUUUCAGAAAUGCUGACCUUGCGAAGGUCUUCACCACCAUGAAGUUUCCCAGAGAGACUCUCACCACUGCUGUUCAGACACAAGGACCAUGCCAUAACCUGUCAUCAGGAAAGAGACUAUGUUAAAGAAGGAUUUUCAUCCUGUCUUAUGAAGAAAUUCCAUUUCAAUGCUGCGAUAAUGCAAAGUAAUUCUUCUCAACCAUCUGAAAUCACAAUUGUUCCUUUCUGGAGAUGGCAUGUGAAGAUAUUCCCAAGACUGUGACUAAGUUGGUUGGAGGUUGUAACACCAUCAUUCCAUUGCCUCUCGCUGCUCUGCUGUUGCUUUCCACCAGCGUAAAAUCAAUUAAGGGAAAGGCAUGGAAGGAAUGCCCUGUCCACCGUUGAUAAAAUUGGGAGACCCUAAUGGACUUAAGUCCCAGUAAGAAUAAAUCCAGAUAUCCCUGGUAGGUUGUAAAAUGGUUUGUUGGUCAGAAGCAAUGUUGUGGGGGAUACUAUGACAGUAAACAAGGCAUCUGGUAAAUCCCCGGGGCCAAAACUUAGAGAAUGCAAGAAAGGCAAAUCCAUAUUCUCGCAGAGUACAAAAAUAAAUAUCUAUUCCAGUGACAAUAAAUCACUUUCUUCUCUGUGGACAAAAACGAAUCUCAUGUAAU
ensembl:lncRNA novel transcript